AGAAACUUAGGAUAAACCUUAAUAAACCAGGAGCCUUCAAAGCCCCAAACAAGAGACAAAACCUCUUAGUUUCUG